AUUGAACGCUGGCGGCAUGCUUUACACAUGCAAGUCGAACGGCAGCGCGGGCUUCGGCCUGGCGGCGAGUGGCGAACGGGUGAGUAAUGCAUCGGAACGUGCCCAGUAGUGGGGGAUAGCCCGGCGAAAGCCGGAUUAAUACCGCAUACGACCUGAGGGUGAAAGCGGGGGACCGAAAGGCCUCGCGCUAUUGGAGCGGCCGAUGUCGGAUUAGCUAGUUGGUGGGGUAAAGGCUUACCAAGGCGACGAUCCGUAGCUGGUCUGAGAGGACGACCAGCCAAACUGGGACUGAGACACGGCCCAGACUCCUACGGGAGGCAGCAGUGGGGAAUUUUGGACAAUGGGGGCAACCCUGAUCCAGCCAUGCCGCGUGCGGGAAGAAGGCCUUCGGGUUGUAAACCGCUUUUGUUCGGGAAGAAAUCCUCUGGGCUAAUACCCCGGGGGGAUGACGGUACCGGAAGAAUAAGCACCGGCUAACUACGU
rnacentral:rRNA from 1 species